CAGAAGAUAGUUUAGUGCAGAGCACCAGCUUUGGGAGCUGGAGGUGAGGGUUUAACUCCCUCUUUUCUGA
rnacentral:tRNA from 2 species